rnacentral:rRNA from 1 species
GCAUAUCAAUAAGCGGAGGAAAAGAAAAUAACAAUGAUUCCCCUAGUAACUGCGAGUGAAGAGGGACAAGCUCAAAUUUUAAAUCUAUCGGGUUUUGCCUGAUCGAGUUGUAAUUUGAAGAUGGCGUUUUCUGUGUUUCUGAUCAGGAUCAAGCCCUUUGGGAUAAGGCAUCAUGGAGGGUGAGAAUCCCGUUCGGUUGAUCCAGAUUCGCUUUACGAUACGUUAUCAAAGAGUCAAGUUGUUUGGGAUUGCAGCUUAAAAUGGGAGGUAAAUUUCUCCUAAGGCUAAAUAACGGCGAGAGACCGAUAGCGAACAAGUACCGUGAGGGAAAGAUGAAAAGAACUUUGAAAAGAGAGUUAAACAGUACGUGAAAUUGUUGAAAGGGAAACGAUUGAAGCCAGUCGUACCUUCGGGUAAUCAGCCUUUUGGGUGUGAUUUUGUGGAACGUGAAGAGUUAAACGCCUUCAUGCCUGCAUAUUCGUGCACUUUGGGUGUACUUGCCCGUAUGGUUGGUUAACAUCAAUUUUGGUGGUCAUAAAAUGACUGGAGGAAUGUAGCUUCGAUCUCGUAUUGAAGUAUUAUAGCCUUCGGUAGAUGUGAUGAUCGAGAUUGAGGAUUGCAACGGAUACCCUUCGGGGCUACCUGUCUGAUCUCUGAUCGUUGCUCUGGUGCCGAAAGUUUGCUUACGGUUAUCAAAGUCGAUGGUCAAUAGGUUAGAACGGGUUAAAUUCGUUAAGGAUGUUGACGUAAUGGCUUUAAACGAC